AAUAACCUCAGACUUAUCACCCCCCAGCGUUAUGGCGGUGAAAUGCACCGCAAUGCAAAGCAACCCCGACGCAGAACUCCAAAAGGGUCACGACGCCGUAGGAGCGACGGCGUAGCUACGCCGUGGAGUUGACGCAGAAGCAUAAAACAGCCUUUAGACAGUUGUGAUUCUUUUAAAGAAAUACAAACAAAUACAGAACGUUUAUUUCCCUCUGUCUGAGAAUGAUAACUCGAGCAGUCAGACAAUACUCCAGUGCUGUCGCAGUGCUGUGGCGAUCUGGCAAAGCAAGACUAACGAGACUGCAACUCAAUUUAUUUCUGGUGAUUUUUACUCUCUUCUUUAUAAAAAUGUCAGAAAAUAGUGAAAAGUGCCUGUUAAUAUUUCCCACAUUUUCAGUUACUUCAUACUUCAACAGUCUGAAACCUAAAGAUAUACAACUUACUGUUAUAAAAAUAGAGAAAAGCAGUAAAUCGUCACAUUUGAGAAGCUGUAACCAGAACAUUUGGCAUUUUUUGCUUGAAAAAUCACUGAGACAAUGAAUCCGUUAACAAAACUGUAGCUGAAUAAUCAACUUAUCGAUUAACCAUGGAUUCUUUCUGCUCUAGUCGUGAACAUGGGACUCUUUCUCUUCAUCGUCUAUCCAUUUAUGACAUGAACGUUGCAUUGAAGCACAGUCGGCGCCCUCGGUUGUUGAUGGUGAAAUCAAUGUGAAUGAUUGGAAACCAGGAUAGUAAAUGGUUGAAUGCACUGCAGUUACACAGUUAGGGAGAGGUUAACCCUCUGAGUAGUAUUUAUGAAGUUACAGUGCAAUGGAAAAAUAUUUUUUUCUGUAUUUAAGUAACUGGAUUUCUCAUAUGUCUUUCCAUUUAAGUAUUUGUUUCCAUUUGAUGGUUGAAAAUUGUCUCUGAAUGUUUAAUUUUUAGAAAUGUUAUUGUAAAAACAUCAAAUGUUUGCCUGGUAAUAAAAUAAAAUGACUUUGGCAUGA